rnacentral:rRNA from 1 species
CCUACGGGGGGCAGCAGUGGGGAAUAUUGCACAAUGGGGGAAACCCUGAUGCAGCGACGCCGCGUGAGCGAUGAAGUAUUUCGGUAUGUAAAGCUCUAUCAGCAGGGAAGAAAAUGACGGUACCUGACUAAGACGCCCCGGCUAAUUACGUGCCAGCAGCCGCGGUAAUACGUAGGGGGCAAGCGUUAUCCGGAUUUACUGGGUGUAAAGGGAGCGUAGACGGCGGUGCAAGCCAGAUGUGAAAGCCCGGGGCUCAACCCCGGGACUGCAUUUUGAACUGUGCUGCUAGAGUGUCGAAGAGGCAGGCGGAAUUCCUAGUGUAGCGGUGAAAUGCGUAGAUAUUAGAAAGAACACCAGUGGCGAAGGCAGCCUGCUAAACGAUGACUGACGUUGAGGCUCGAAAGCGUGGGGAGCAAACAGGAUUAGAUACCCGAGUAGUC